rnacentral:ncRNA from 2 species
CGCGCGACCUCGGGGUGCGCGGCAGCGCUGAGAUGACACCCGUUGAACCUGAACCGGAUCACACCGGCGGAGGGAAGGUACUGGACAGCCUC